AUGGCCCCCGCGGUGCAUUAGCUAGUUGGUAAGGUAAAGGCUUACCAAGGCGAUGAUGCAUAGCCGAGUUGAGAGACUGAUCGGCCACAUUGGGACUGAGACACGGCCCAAAAACUCCUACGGGGAGGCAGCAGUAGGGAAUCUUCCACAAUGGACGCAAGUCUGAUGGAGCAACGCCGCGUGAGUGAAGAAGGUUUUCGGAUCGUAAAGCUCUGUUGUUGGUGAAGAAGGAUAGAGGUAGUAACUGGCCUUUAUUUGACGGUAAUCAACCAGAAAGUCACGGCUAACUACGUGCCCAGCAGCCGCGGGUAAU
rnacentral:rRNA from 1 species